CGUGUAGGCGGUGCGGUAAGUUGGGCGUGAAAUACCCCGAGCUUAACUCGGGUGGGCCGUUCAAGACUGCCGUGCUAGGGUGCGGGAGAGGGAAGUGGAAUUUCCGGUGUAGCGGUGAAAUGCGUAGAUAUCGGGAGGAACACCUGCGGCGAAGGCGGCUUCCUGGACCGUAACCGACGCUGAGGCGCGAAAGCUAGGGGAGCAAACAGGAUUAGAUACCCUGGUAGUCCUAGCCCUAAACGAUGAGCACUGGGUGUGGCCCCUCACGAGGCCGUGCCGAAGCUAACGCAUUAAGUGCUCCGCCUGGGGAGUACGGUCGCAAGGCUGAA
rnacentral:rRNA from 1 species